rnacentral:tRNA from 1 species
GUUUCUGUAGUGUAGUGGUCAUCACNCUNGCCUAACAUGCGAGAAGUUCCCAGUUCGAAACCAGAUGGAAACA